rnacentral:rRNA from 1 species
GAUGAACGCUGGCGGCGUGCUUAACACAUGCCAGUCGAACGAAACACCUUAUUUGAUUUUCUUCGGAACUGAAGAUUUGGUGAUUGAGUGGCGGACGGGUGAGUAACGCGUGGGUAACCUGCCCUGUACAGGGGGAUAACAGUCAGAAAUGACUGCUAAUACCGCAUAAGACCACAGCACCGCAUGGUGCAGGGGUAAAAACUCCGGUGGUACAGGAUGGACCCGCGUCUGAUUAGCUGGUUGGUGAGGUAACGGCUCACCAAGGCGACGAUCAGUAGCCGGCUUGAGAGAGUGAACGGCCACAUUGGGACUGAGACACGGCCCAAACUCCUACGGGAGGCAGCAGUGGGGAAUAUUGCACAAUGGGGGAAACCCUGAUGCAGCGACGCCGCGUGAGUGAAGAAGUAUUUCGGUAUGUAAAGCUCUAUCAGCAGGGAAGAAAAUGACGGUACCUGACUAAGAAGCCCCGGCUAACUACGUG